rnacentral:rRNA from 1 species
CACGUAGGCACCAAGCGUUUGUCCGGAUUUAUUGGGCGUAAAGAGCUCGUAGGCGGUUUGUCGCGUCUGCUGUGAAAACCCAGGGCUUAACCCUGGGCCUGCAGUGGGUACGGGCAGACUAGAGUGCGGUAGGGGGAGAUCGGAAUUCCUGGUGUAGCGGUGAAAUGCGCAGAUAUCAGGAGGAACACCGGUGGCGAAGGCGGAUCUCUGGGCCGUAACUGACGCUGAGGAGCGAAAGCGUGGGGAGCGAACAGG